rnacentral:lncRNA from 1 species
UAAUCAUCAUUUCCGUAUAAGUCCUCAGUAGUUUAUCUCAGCAGUCAGCUCCGGCCUACGCAUCCUCUACGUAGGGGACCGAUGCGAAUAAGUGAAUGAUCCAGAAAAAACAAAAAAAUAAAAGAAAGCAAAAAGGCAACUCCGGUAUAGGUGACCCUCACAAAGUCAUUUAAACCAAAGGAUUGUAAAAAAAAAUGCUAGAAAAAGAAAGAAA